UAUUCAUUAUUCACAUUAUGCAAAUAAUUGAUCUCUGUGAAAUAUUUUUAAAAAGCUUUUGAACAGUCCAGUCCAGUGCAGCCUCUCCACUGAUUUAAGAUGCAUCAAGACUUGUGUUUGUUGUACCAUGGCUUUCUGAACAACUUGGUUAUCAACUUAGUGAGAUUACACUGCAGUGGUGCAUAUUGCUAGCCUGCAACAACCCUCAAUUUCAACAUGUCCGAUUCAAGGUGCAGCGUGUAAGAUUGUGACCCAGGGACCACCAGUGGAGCAGGUCGCCAUUCAUAAACGCCACAAUGUUGUUCCACCAUGCACUGCUUGGACAAUGAGCAAGAAGAAAGUAGAAGAAAGAACACCCCUACCUCUAAACUCUGUAAGGUUAACACUGUGAACUCCCAUGCCCCUAGAGCUGUCAUGCCCUCCAGUAUAAACUUGCUAAACAAAUCUUUGCAAGUGAUAUUUAUUUGUUUGUAUGACCUUUAUUUUACCAGGACGUCCAAUUGAGAUCAAGAUUUCUUUUUCAAGGGAGACCUGGUCAAGAUGGCAGCCAUACAGAUUUACAGCAUAUUAAAAAUCAACACAUACAACACAAUAUACCAUAAUUCCAUUCACAAGAUCAAAACAAUGGACUCUCAAUGGAUGUCUCCUUCACCGCAUUCUUUAUGAUGUCCUUAACUUCAACAAUAGAUAUGAAUGUGUCUAACUUUAGAUCUUUCUACAAGUUAUUCCAUGACCGAGGUGCAUAAUAGGAAAAAUCUGUUUUUUCCAAAUUUGUAAAAAUUCAAGAUAAAUUAAAAAGUAACCACCUGAAACAGUGUAGCUGGUAACCACCAGAGAUAAGACACAACAAGGUACAAAGAUAAGGUGGAGGUUUAGAUAAAAAUACACCAGUGCUUUUAUGUAUAAAGGGUCAGUCAUGUCCACCCCACUAACUCAAACAAAUUCAGUGGUGAGUACAAGACUUUGCAUUUGUAAUGAAAUCCAAGGAUGUAUGCACUAAUCAAGGCUUUGUAAAAUAGAGGAGGCUACAUGCAUAUAUAAUAUAUCGCCAAAAUCAAUCACAGGUAGAAAGUAGUUUCCAAGUUUUUUCAUAGCACUGUAAGUAAAACGCAUUUUAUCUCUAAAA